rnacentral:tRNA from 1 species
GCCCCAGUAACUCAGUGGUAGAGUACUUUCUUGGUAAGAAAGAAGUCAUGGGUUCAAGUCCCAUCUGGGGCU